rnacentral:rRNA from 1 species
CCUACGGGGGGCAGCAGUGAGGAAUAUUGGUCAAUGGCCGGAAGGCUGAACCAGCCAUGCCGCGUGAAGGUCAGUGCCCUAUGGGCGUUAAACUUCUUUUGUGCGGGAGCAAUAAUGGUCACGUGUGGCCAGACGAGAGUACCGUACGAAUAAGCAUCGGCUAACUCCGUGCCAGCAGCCGCGGUAAUACGGGUGAUGCAAGCGUUAUCCGGAUUUAUUGGGUUUAAAGGGUGCGUAGGCUGUGAGGUAAGUCAGCGGUGAAAUGCCCCCGCUCAACGGGGUGAAGUGCCAUUGAUACUGCCUGGCUGGAAUGCGGAUGCCGUGGGAGGAAUGUGUGGUGUAGCGGUGAAAUGCAUAGAUAUCACACAGAACACCGAUUGCGAAGGCAUCUCACGAAUCCGCGAUUGACGCUGAUGCACGAAAGCGUGGGUAUCAAACAGGAUUAGAUACCCUUGUAGUC